UACGGAAGGCAGCAGUGGGGAAUAUUGCACAAUGGGCGCAAGCCUGAUGCAGCCAUGCCGCGUGUAUGAAAAAGGCCUUCGGGUUGUAAAGUACUUUCAGUCGUGAGGAAGGUGUUAAGGUUAAUAACCUUAGCAAUUGACGUUAGCGACAGAAGAAGCACCGGCUAACUCCGUGCCAGCAGCCGCGGUAAUACGGAGGGUGCGAGCGUUAAUCGGAAUUACUGGGCGUAAAGGGCACGCAGGCGGUUAAUUAAGUUGGAUGUGAAAUCCCCGGGCUUAACCUGGGAAUGGCAUUCAAGACUGGUUAGCUAGAGUCUUGUAGAGGGGGUUAGAAGUUCCAUGUGUAGCGGUGAAAUGCGUAGAGAUGUGGAGGAAUACCGGUGGCGAAGGCGGCCCCUGGACAAAGACUGACGCUCGAUGUGCGAAAGCGUGGGGAGCAAACGAGGGAUUAGAUACCC
rnacentral:rRNA from 1 species